rnacentral:rRNA from 1 species
CUACGGGUUGCUGCAGUGGGGAAUAUUGGGCAAUGGGCGAAAGCCUGACCCAGCAACGCCGCGUGAUUGAAGAAGGCUUUCGGGUUGUAAAAAUCUGUCCUUGGGGACGAAGAAGUGACGGUACCCAAGGAGGAAGCCCCGGCUAACUACGUGCCAGCAGCCGCGGUAAUACGUAGGGGGCGAGCGUUGUCCGGAAUUACUGGGCGUAAAGGGUGCGCAGGCGGCGCUUUAAGUCAGAUGUGAAAUACCCAGGCUUAACCUGGGGGGUGCAUUUGAAACUGGAGCGCUUGAGUGCAGGAGAGGAAAGUGGAAUUCCUAGUGUAGCGGUGAAAUGCGUAGAUAUUAGGAGGAACACCAGUGGCGAAGGCGACUUUCUGGACUGUAACUGACGCUGAGGCACGAAAGCGUGGGGAGCAAACAGGAUUAGAUACCCCCGUAGUC